AUUGAACGCCGGCGGCAGGCCUAACACAUGCAAGUCGAACGAGUGGCGGACGGGUGAGUAAUGUCUGGGAAACUGCCCGAUGGAGGGGGAUAACUACUGGAAACGGUAGCUAAUACCGCAUACCAUCGGAUGUGCCCAGAUGGGAUUAGCUAGUAGGUGGGGUAACGGCUCACCUAGGCGACGAUCCCUAGCUGGUCUGAGAGGAUGACCGGCCACACUGGAAUUGAGACACGGUCCAGACUCCAACGGGGGGCAGCAGUGGGGAUUAUUCCACAAUGGGCGCAAGCCUGAUGCACCCAUGCCGGUUGUAUGAAGAAGGCCUUCGGGUUGUAAAGUACUUUCAGCGAGAAGGCGUUACUCGCAGAGGAAGCCCCGGCUAACUCCGUGCCAGCAGCCGCGGUAAUUC
rnacentral:rRNA from 1 species